AGAGUUUUGAUCCUGGCUCAGGAUGAACGCUAGCGGCAGGCUUAAUACAUGCAAGGCGAGGGCACAGCAAUGUGACCGUCGAACGGGUGCGUAACGCGUAUGCAACCUACCUAUCACUGGGGGAUAGCCCGGGGAAACCCGGAUUAAUACCGCAUAACACAGGGGCUCCACAUGGGGAUAUUUGUUAAAGAUUUAUCGGUGGUAGAUGGGCAUGCGUUCGAUUAGUUAGUUGGUAUGGGUAACGGCCUACCAAGACGAUGAUCGAUAGGGGAGCUGAGAGGUUGAUCCCCCACACGGGCACUGAGAUACGGGCCCGACUCCUACGGGAGGCAGCAGUAGGGAAUAUUGGGCAAUGGAUGCAAGUCUGACCCAGCCAUGCCGCGUGCAGGAUGAAGGCGCUCAGCGUUGUAAACUGCUUUUAUUCGGGAAGAAGAGCGAGGGUGCGCCCUUGCGUGACGGUACCGAAUGAAUAAGCACCGGCUAACUCCGUG
rnacentral:rRNA from 1 species